AUACGGAGGGUGCGAGCGUUAAUCGGAAUUACUGGGCGUAAAGCGCGCGUAGGCGGUUUGUUAAGUCGGAUGUGAAAUCCCCGGGCUCAACCUGGGAACUGCAUUCGAAACUGGCGAGCUAGAGUAUGGUAGAGGAUAGUGGAAUUCCGGGUGUAGCGGUGAAAUGCGUAGAUAUCCGGAGGAACAUCAGUGGCGAAGGCGGCUAUCUGGACCAAUACUGACGCUGAGGUGCGAAAGCGUGGGGAGCAAACAGGAUUAGAAACCCCAGUAGUCC
rnacentral:rRNA from 1 species